UUCAGGACAGUCCUCUGGCUACGCUCAACGCGGAUCUAGCUCGGGUCAUUCCUCUAGCCGUGGACAGCAUGGUUCUACAUCAGGACAGUCAUCAAGCUGUGAACAACAUGGAGCUAGCUCAGGUCAGUCCUCCAGCUAUGGCAACCAUGGCUCCGGCUCAAGUCAGUCUUCUGGCUAUGGCCGACACAGCUCUGGAUCUGGCCAGUCUCCUAGCCGUGGCCGACAUGGGUCCGGGUCAGGACAGUCCUCUGGUUAUAGUCAGCAUGGAAGUGGCUCAGGGUACGGCUCUAGCCAUGGACAACAUGGUUCCACGUCAGGAAAGUCCUCCAGCUUUGGCCAGGAGGGAUCUACCUCCGGGCAGUCUUCCAGCUACGGUCAGCAUGGCUCUGGCUCACAUCAGUCUUCGGGCCACGGCCAACACGGGUCUGGGUCUCGUUCGGGGCACUCUCCCAGCCAUGGCCCACACGGCUCUGGCUCAGGUUCUUCUUCCAGCCGAGGCCCAUAUGAGUCUGGCUCAGGCCACUCUUCUGGCUUCGGUCAACAUGAGUCUAGCUCAGGGCAGUCCUCUGGUUCCAGUCAGCAGGGAUCUGCCUCAGGUCACUCCUCUGGCUACGGACAACAUGGUUCUAGCUCAGGUCAGUCUUCCGGCCAUGGUCAGCAUGGGUCUGGCUCCCGUCAGUCUUCGGGCCAUGGCCGACGCGGCUCUGGAUCUGGCCAGUCUCCUAGCCGGGGCGGACACGGGUCCAGGUCGGGACAGUCUUCCAGCUACGGCCAACAUGGGUCUGGCUCAGGGCAGUCCUCUGGUUAUAGUCAGCAUGGAAGUGGCUCAGGGUACGGCUCUAGCCGUGGACAACAUGGUUCCACGUCAGGACAGUCCUCCAGCUUCGGCCAGGAGGGAUCUAGCUCAGGUCAGUCUUCCGGCUAUGGUCAGCAUCGGUCUGGCUCCCGUCAGUCUUCCAGCUACGGCCAACAUGGGUCUGGCUCAGGAGAGUCCUCUGGUUAUACUCAGCAUGGAGGCGGCUCAGGGUCCGGCUCUAGUCAUGGACAACAUG
rnacentral:lncRNA from 13 species